rnacentral:rRNA from 1 species
UACGGAGGGUGCAAGCAUUGAUCGGAAUUACUGGGCGUAAAGGGCGCGUAGGCGGCUUUGUAAGUCAGAUGUGAAAUUCCGGGGCUCAAUCCCGGAGCUGCAUUUGAAACUGCAUAGCUAGAGUACAGUUAGGGUAAACGGAAUUCCACGUGUAGCGGUGAAAUGCGUAGAUAUGUGGAAGAACACCGGUGGUGAAGACGGUUUACUGGGCUGCUUCUGACGCUGAGGCGCGAAAGCAUGGGUAGCAAACAGG